rnacentral:lncRNA from 10 species
GUCUUCUGCGUCGCUCACGCUGGGAGCUGUAGACCGGAGCUGUUCCUAUUCAGCCAUCUUGGCUCCUCCCCUGACUGAUGUCCUCCUUAUAGGAAUGGGAAAUUCAGAUGCAGACAGGUGCUGAAGACCAUGUGAAGGCACAGGGAGGAGGUGGCCAUCUGCAAGCCAAGGAGAGAAGCCUCAGAAGAAACCAACCCUGCCAACACCGUGACCUCAGACUCCAGCCCCCAGAACUAGCCAUAGUUUGUCUUCCACAACUGGAGGUUUGAAAAGAAGGAUGAGGACACUGAAUCUCAGAGACGUCAAGUUCUUUCAUCGAGAUUCCAUAGAAUGUUCCCUGUUUCUUCAUCUAUGACAUGGGGAUAAUGUGAGUAUACCUACAUCAGAGGGCUGCGAUGAAGACUAAAUAAGGACGAGCACUCAUAUAAGUCGACAAUGCAUCUGCAUUCUAGAAAAUAAUUCAGUGUUCCAGACAAGAAUAUUGUUGAUUUUUGAAGAAAUUUCCCAUACCUACACUAAAGGAACACCAAAUUUAUUACUGUAUCAGUGAGACAGCUGUUGUGACAGUAAAGUGAGACCCUUGUAGCAAAAGCACUUUUCGGACUCCAUGAUGUUAGGAAACUGCAAAACACCUUCUUCUGAGUCCAGAGACUGGAAAAUGAACUCUUGUGUGCCCCAGAGGUUACUGACAGACCAAAAUAUCCUGACAACCCCGGAAUGCCAGAAGGAGAGAAGGGGUUUGUAAAUCUGAGGACCUUGACUACUUUUGCUUUGACUUGGGUGACUAUGGAGAACGUGACAUGGGAAGUUAAAAAGCAACAAGAAGUCUUUUAAAAAGUUUGAAUUACAUUGAACAUAUGUCUGAAAUGUAAGAAGGGGUAAGCCCUCUUUCUUACCAUCCUUCCUGACCAUGACCCCUGGGAGUCAGAUAUCCCAGGCACAGCUUAGCUUUCUAACCCUGCUGUGUUGCCCUCCAUGAUCUCUCCGAAUUUCUCUCCCUUUCCUCCCUUUACACUAAAAAUGCUCUAGUUCUGGCCUUCCUCAUCUCGUUAAUAAUUAAGCUGGCUGACUUAACUCCCUGCCUUCUGGUUGCCCUCUUCAAUCUGUCCUUGUCUCUGUCAGCAGCAGCAUCGUCCUGCUCAAAACCACAAAGACCUCCUACUGUGGAAAGACAGGUAUUCAGAAUCCACAUCGCACGUCUAGAUCCCCUGUGAUGUGCCCUGAAACAACCUCCACUGUCUUAGCUUUUACUAACAUCUUCCAUAAUUUCCAGGCCCAGCAGGCCUGAUCUUGUGCUCAACUUCCCCAACUUAGUCUCCUCCUUCUGUCAGAAAUAGCCUUUCUCUAUCUCCACCUGAGAUUAAUGUAUCCUGGAGAGUCUAUCUCUCUUUUCAGUGUCCAUAUCAAGGGCCGGCUCCUCCAGAAAGCCUUUCUAUACCUUCAACCUCCAACCUCAUAUCUCAUCAUUAGAAAAGAUCACGUUCUCAUUAGAAGCCCAAACCUCAGUAUCACAUAAUAUGCCCAUCUAACAAACCUGCACAUGUACACCCUGAACCUAAAAAAAAAUAAAAUAAAACAAAAAAAGAAAAGAAAAUAUACACUGAUGAGAAAAAAAAGGAUCAAAUCCAACUUUAAGUUCCUGAGUCUAACUUUCUAACUUUAUUUUAGUGCCUCCCAGAAUUAUCUGUGUUUGUGUCCACAUUAACCAUUGGCUGGGAUCAUCAUAAGUGAAUCACCAUGUUCCCCAAACCAAAAACUGCCCUGGCACACAGGAAGCUUACGUUAGUGUCUUAGUAUGGCAUAUAUGUAUACACACACUGUACACAUGAACACAUAUCUAUGUGAUGUUUCCAAACAUAGAUAUGUGUUCAUAUCCAAAGACAGUUGUCUUUGAAAGUAAACACAAUAAACUCGGAUAAACUUCUGGAACAUGGGGAUAGGAGGGUGGGAUGAAAGAAAGCAUUUAGUAAAUUUACAUUUCUUUAUGUAUUUCUUGACUCUUAAAAUCAAUAUAUCAUAAUUUAAUAACAUAAUUUAUUAAAAUGAAAAAUAAAAUAAUUCAUGUUAAUUGUAGAAUACAUACAUCUGUAAAGAAGAAUGACAAACAGGAAUAAUUUCCAGAGACUCACAAUCUACAUACAUUCUAUUUAUGUGAUUAGAUCCAUGUUAUUCUUAUGUUUCCUUUUUGCCAGUUAGCAUUGUAUGGAGAGUACUUCUCCAUUUUCUAUCAUUGGGUGUAUGAAUUGUUAACCACUUUGGAAUACUGCAAAUAAUCAUAUAAUGAAUAUACAUAUACUUAAAUCUUUGUGUGCAUUUGUUAUUAUUUACUAGGUUAGAUUCUUAGAAAUAGAACCACUGACUUGAAGGGAAUAUUAUCAUUUAAGGUUUUAAUCCAUGUUGCCAAAAUGUUUGUAAGAAAGUAUCCAUCUCACAAUACCCACAUCAGAACCAGGUAUUACAAUUUUUAAAACCUCCCAAACAUUUUCUUUUUCUUUCUUUUUUUUCUUUUCUUUUUUUUUUGAGACAGAGUCUCACUCCGUUUCUCAGGCUGGAGUACAGUGGCAGUGACUGCAACCUACGCACCCCCCAGGUUCAAGCGAUUCUCCUGCCUCAACCUCACGAGUAGCUGGGAUUACAGGCACCUGCCACCAUGACCCGCUAAUUUUUUUGUGUUUUAACUAGAGACAGAGUUUCACCAUGUUGGCCGGGGUGGUCUUCAACUCCUGAUGUCAAGUGAUGCGCCCACUUCUGCCUCCCAAAAUGCUGGGAUUACAGGCUUGAGCCACAGCGCCCAGCCCUAACAUUUUUUUUUUUAUGGAUUCUCCCUUUGCUUUUAUAAUGAGGGCACCUCUACCCUGAGAUGAAUCAGAUGCAUUAUUGUUUUUUGUCAAUUCUUUUACUACUUCUUCUUUAAUAUUUGAAUUUUUGAUCAAUUUAAAUCAAAUUAGGUAAAUUUUAUGAGGUAAGGGAGGAGACAUUUGCCUUGUUAUAAUUCCUGUAUAUUUAACCAAUCAUCCAUGUCAUAUUUAUUUAAUAAUCCUUCCCCACACUUUAAAUAAUUUGUAGUCUUAUUUUUGUUCUGUGUUUGAAUUACCAUAGCUGUAUAGUAUGAUUUGACAUCUGAUAGGGUAGAUUUCACCUUUUUAAUUAUUUAUUUUAUAUUCUGGGGUCAUUCUCAGCAUUUAUUUUGUCUAAAUGAAACGUAAACAGGCUGUCAAGUUUUCAACACAGAUCCAAGUGGAAUUAAACAUUUUUUUUCUUACGAAUAUUUGGGGACUUCAUUCCUUUCUUCCUUUUUUUUCUCUUCCUCCUCCCCUCCCUCCUUCUCCUCCUUCUUAUUCUAUUCUUCUCUCUCUUUUUCAUUCUCUUCUCCUUCCUUCCCUUCCUUUCCUUCUCAACUUCAUCUUCUUCGUUUCUCCAUCAUUAUCAUUUUCUGUUUAUUGAUUACACUUAAAUAAUAACUAUUUCAUAGAGAAAAUUAAAACUAGACAUAGUGAUCAAAUGUUGACAUGUUGUUUUUUGUGUCAAAUAUUCAAAUAUUUUUAAAUUGACAUCUAAAAGUUUAUAGAAACAGGCACAUUCCUCCACCAGAAUUUCCCUCUACUCUCAAAAGUAACCACCAUUAUAAAAUGCUGCACUGUCAGCAAACCACCAUGGCACAUGUAUACCUAUGUAACAAACCUGCACGUUCUGCACAUGUAUCCCAAAACUUAAAGUAUAACAAUAAUAAUAAUGCUGCACUGUCUUUUUUGUGUUGUUUUGUGCAUUUUUAACCUCUAAUUUCACAGCAUACUUAUUUGUCCAUAACUAUAUAUAUAGUGUUUUGCAUAUUUAAAACUUUUGUACAAAAUGUGUCAGAGUGAACAUGUUCUUUUGCAAUUUCAUUUAUUUUGGUCAACAAUAUGUGACUUUUCUUCAUGAACAUCCUGCAUAUUCCUUGUUUCAUUUAUCCUUGGUUAUUUAGAACAUUUCUUCUAUUUUAAUGCUAACUUCAAUUGACUCAAAUUUUGUUGACGGCUUGUGAGAUCAACCAAAAGCUAAAUGAAAUCAGUCUUCUGUGUGUGUGUUUGUUUUUAAUGCUUUCUAGAUUAGUCUGACAUGCACACCCAAUCGGAAAACACUAGCGCAGAAGAGGGAGAGCCUAAUAUCAGCAUUACCUAGGUAUUAGAAGAAUUUGGAUAUUAUUAUAUACACCUGGCAUGAUAGCUAGGACAGAACCUGUUCUGCCGGGAGAAGGCGCCUGCUCAGGGUUUCUCUUUCCCUACAUGGGAACCCCUGAAGGAGAGUCCUGCCUGUGAUCUUCAUUUAGAAGGCUAGUGCUGACCACUGCUUGGUUCUCAUCAAUCCAUCCUUGAGAUAUCCCCAAUCUCAUCUUAAAUCUGAAUUGAACCUGUCAUAUUAUAGCCUGGCUCUUCUCUCACCAACUAUUUGGGGAACCCAGCCAACAUACUGUGAUGAAGCCUAAACAACUGUGGAGAGGCUCACGUGGAGAGGAGUCAAUGCCCACUGAUCUAUAAGCCUUGGCUGAGCUCUGAGCCAACAGUCAUGAUCAACUUCCAGCCGUAUAAGUGAACCAUCUUGAAAGAGGCUUCACCAGCACCAAGUUGAGCAACUUGAUUAUGUUACCAAAGAUCACCUCCUUCCUAUCAUCUUCCGUCUGAGACUUGCUUAGAGUGAGUUUGGAAGCUGUGUUUUGCUCAUCCUGAAGACUGAACAUAAGAAAAUAUUGCUCAAGUUCUGGAUGAUGCAGCUGCUGAAAUAAUCUGUGGUGCACUUUCCUUCAGGAAUCCUUACCUAUUUUUUCAGGUGUUCCACAAGCCUUCUUAUCUUGGAAUUCAGUAAUACUUAUUGUGUGGUUGCUUACUGUUCCCUAGGCACCCUGAAGCAUUGAAGCUUUGAAGCUUUGUCUCAUGCUUUCAAGUAAUGUUCUCGUGUUUACCUGCUGAUAUUCCUUCAAAGUUAGAGGCUGCCUCUCUCCAAGUGUGGAAAAAAACAAUCAGAUGUCACUAAGAUAUUGUGUAACAAUUCAUAUUAAACACAUGAUCUUGUCAGUCAAGAAGAAGAGAUUAAAACAAACACCUUGAGAGUUCAUGAGUAGAAGUAUACAGCCCUGCAUUCAUGAUAAUAUGGUGCAUUUUACCUACCUUGCAGCAGAAAGAGAUAUCUAAUUCCAUACACAGCAAUGUAACUGUUUAAAGUGCUCCUAAAAUUCAGACAAAACAAAUUAUAAAUAGUAUCAAGAUCAAAGAAGCUGAAAGUCCCUAUGUUUGAUGUAGGCACAGCAAAGUUUGAUGUAUAUGCUCAUUUCUCAGCACUGCAAGUAUGGAGAAACCAUCAGAAAGCAUGCUGAAAAUAGAGAGGGCUUCUAAAACAGAAAGCUCCUGCCUGUUUUACUGAAGGCUACCAGAUUCUUUCUCAGAAAUUUUGUACAGUUCAGAGGCACAAAUGCUCUUUUAGGUCCUUUGAAGCACUGGGUUUAAUAUCGGAAUUUAAUCUUGGCUCUAGUCUCCAAUUCCUUACAUAGUCAUUCAAGCAAUCUUGGGGACCAAGUCUUCCAAUAGCAUAGUGAUAUUCAUGCCUGAAGUGGGAGGAAUAGAUAUCCUCCUCAUUAACAAGGGAUGAGAGAUCAUGUUUCAUAGGCAAAAUACUCAUGCAUGCAAAAAUGUAACUUUUCCAGUAAUUUUUUUAGUACUGAAAUUAGCUUAGCUCAUUAGCUCUCUCUUCUACCUAGUAGCAGGGAAUGCAGUUUUGCUAACCCAGGUGACUCAUUAUUUCUGUUUUCAAGUUUAGUUUAUUUUAGGUAAAUUUUUGAAUUCAUAAUGUUUUUCUGACCUUUCUUCUCUUCCAGAAGAGGUUAUUCUAACUUCUUAAUGGAUUUACUUUUGUAGUUGUUACUGUUAUAUAUAUAUAAUAG